rnacentral:rRNA from 1 species
GACGAACGCUGGCGGCGUGCUUAACACAUGCAAGUCGAACGGAAAGGCCCUGCUUUUGUGGGGUGCUCGAGUGGCGAACGGGUGAGUAACACGUGAGUAACCUGCCCUUGACUUUGGGAUAACUUCAGGAAACUGGGGCUAAUACCGGAUAGGAGCUCCUGCUGCAUGGUGGGGGUUGGAAAGUUUCGGCGGUUGGGGAUGGACUCGCGGCUUAUCAGCUUGUUGGUGGGGUAGUGGCUUACCAAGGCUUUGACGGGUAGCCGGCCUGAGAGGGUGACCGGCCACAUUGGGACUGAGGGACGGCCCAGACGCCUACGGGAGGCAGAAGUGGGGAAUAUUGCACAAUGGGCGGAAGCCUGAUGCAGCAACGCCACGUGCGGGAUGACGGCCUUCGGGUUGUAAACCGCUUUCGCCUGUGACGAAGCGUGAGUGACGGUAAUGGGUAAAGAAGCACCGGCUAACUACGUG